GACGAACGCUGGCGGCGUGCCUAAUACAUGCAAGUAGAACGCUGAAGGAGGAGCUUGCUCUUCUGGAUGAGUUGCGAACGGGUGAGUAACGCGUAGGUAACCUGCCUGGUAGCGGGGGAUAACUAUUGGAAACGAUAGCUAAUACCGCAUAACAGUAGAUGUUGCAUGACAUUUGCUUAAAAGGUGCAAUUGCAUCACUACCAGAUGGACCUGCGUUGUAUUAGCUAGUUGGUGGGGUAACGGCUCACCAAGGCGACGAUACAUAGCCGACCUGAGAGGGUGAUCGGCCACACUGGGACUGAGACACGGCCCAGACUCCUACGGGAGGCAGCAGUAGGGAAUCUUCGGCAAUGGACGGAAGUCUGACCGAGCAACGCCGCGUGAGUGAAGAAGGUUUUCGGAUCGUAAAGCUCUGUUGUAAGAGAAGAACGAGUGUGAGAGUGGAAAGUUCACACUGUGACGGUAUCUUACCAGAAAGGGACGGGUAACUACGUG
rnacentral:rRNA from 1 species